AUUACCGCGGCUGCUGGCACAGAGUUAGCCGGUGCUUCUUCUGCGGGUAACGUCAAUCGACGCGGUUAUUAACCACAUCGCCUUCCUCCCCGCUGAAAGUACUUUACAACCCGAAGGCCUUCUUCAUACACGCGGCAUGGCUGCAUCAGGCUUGCGCCCAUUGUGCAAUAUUCCCCACUGCUGCCUCCCGUAGGAGUCUGGACCGUGUCUCAGUUCCAGUGUGGCUGGUCAUCCUCUCAGACCAGCUAGGGAUCGUCGCCUGGGUGGGCCAUUACCCCGCCUACUAGCUAAUCCCAUCUGGGUUCAUCCGAUAGUGAGAGGCCCGAAGGUCCCCCUCUUUGGUCUUGCGACGUUAUGCGGUAUUAGCCACCGUUUCCAGUGGUUAUCCCCCUCUAUCGGGCAGAUCCCCAGACAUUACUCACCCGUCCGCCACUCGUCACCCAAGGAGCAAGCUCCUCUGUGCUACCGUCCGACUUGCAUGUGUUAGGCCUGCCGCCAGCGUUCAAUCUGAGCCAGGAUCAAACUCU
rnacentral:rRNA from 1 species